AUUUCGGAACAGUACCCGAUUUCUGGAUGACCACCGACGCUAGGAUAAAUUAAUGGCACACAUCUAGAGGGGCUAACCAACGACGUGGAUAACGAGCUCAUUUGAGCUCGUGCUCAAUUACUCCACGUCCAAUGAGGAUCACCAUUUUUGAGGGGAUCUUGCAUAUGAACUUGAUGCUGUUGUGAUCUUCCGAGAAUUUUAUAUGGGGGAGAUGGGCUGCCUCAAUAUGUACUAUCAUCUCAAUUUUACUACAAAGACUAAAAGAGCUGAUGAUUUUCACGGCGACAUCAACAAUCUAUUCUUUGCUGAAGUGACACAAAUAGAAGGAGAAAAUGAAGAAUAUGUGCUCAAUUGUAUCCGUAUGGUCAAACCUAGUGACAAUGGGCGAUGUUAUGGCUGUAUGAGUUACGGAAAUGUUGAUUUGAAGCACCCUGUCAAUGCUGAUAAAUACUCUACGAUGGUCUCUAUUCUGGCCCAUUCAACCUAUGUUGUGGUGUGGUUCCAGAACGAGAUGUUGGCCAUGAUGUACCUACAUACAUCCAGAAUGAGGAUGAUAGGCUGGCGGAUGAGGAGGCUGAGAUAAGACGUAUAUACAAGUGCCCUGAAGGCCUGAAGAACCUCCUAUUCUGGCAAAAUCGGAUUGUGCAAGAAUGUCUGCUAAUUCGGCCAAGAGAGAGGAUGCUGGUUUGGCCAAAAGAGAUGAUGGCCAGGGAAGCGGGAAGUACAUUGUACCUGCUAGGCGUCAGUUGGUUUGAGUAUCCCUCAAGCAUAUGUUCGCUUUUGGGAUCUGUUUUAAAUUUUUUAUAUGAAAGUGCAAAACUAUAAUCACUAAACUCUCUAUAUAUAUCUAUAUUACCAAAUAUUCACUAUAUGAAAAAAAAGUAUUUUCUUAGAAAAUCUGAGGUGCAAACGAACAAGUCCGUAAUAUAUUUUCCCAAAUCUAAUAUCUAUAAUAAAAUAUAUAUACCAUAUGAAAAUAUAUUGCACGAUAAAUGCGAUGGUAUUGCAAUAUAUUUAGAUAAAAAUAUAAGUACAACUUUAGUACGAUGAAAAUAUAUUUGGGAAAAUAUAUUAUGAUGAAAAUAUGUUGUCUCAACUUUAGUAUGAUGAAAAUAUAUUUGGGAAAGUACAUGUACGAUGGAAAUAUAUUUUCAUCAUAUUAAAGUUGUACCAUAUGAAAAUAUGCAUGAUAAAUGCAAUGGUGUUGCUAUCAUACCAUCGCA